GAAUUCAACUCCUACGGGAGGCAGCAGUGGGGAAUAUUGGACAAUGGGCGCAAGCCUGAUCCAGCAAUGCCGCGUGAGUGAUGAAGGCCUUCGGGUCGUAAAGCUCUUUUACCAGGGAUGAUAAUGACAGUACCUGGAGAAUAAGCUCCGGCUAACUCCGUGCCAGCAGCCGCGGUAAUACGGAGGGAGCUAGCGUUGUUCGGAAUUACUGGGCGUAAAGCGCGCGUAGGCGGCGACACAAGUCAGAGGUGAAAGCCCGGGGCUCAACCCCGGAACUGCCUUUGAAACUAGGUUGCUAGAAUCUUGGAGAGGUCAGUGGAAUUCCGAGUGUAGAGGUGAAAUUCGUAGAUAUUCGGAAGAACACCAGUGGCGAAGGCGACUGACUGGACAAGUAUUGACGCUGAGGUGCGAAAGCGUGGGGAGCAAACAGGAUUAGAUACCCUAGUAGUCCAGGCGUU
rnacentral:rRNA from 1 species